UACGAAGGGGGCUAGCGUUGCUCGGAAUUACUGGGCGUAAAGGGCGCGUAGGCGGAUAGUUUAGUCAGAGGUAAAAGCCCAGGGCUCAACCUUGGAACUGCCUUUGAUACUGGCUAUCUUGAGUUCGGGAGAGGUGAGUGGAAUGCCGAGUGUAGAGGUGAAAUUCGUAGAUAUUCGGCGGAACACCAGUGGCGAAGGCGACUCACUGGCCCGAUACUGACGCUGAGGCACGAAAGCGUGGGGAGCAAACAGG
rnacentral:rRNA from 1 species